UGUUAAACAUUUCAUUCAUUUGUACCGUUAAAAACUAACGUGAUUAAUAGAAUUACCAAAUAGGGACACAUGGCAUGCCAUGUGUACCUCAUACUGACACACAAGGACAAACUUUUUUACCGUAAAAAUUGAUGGAAUUAAAA
rfam:Gossypium raimondii Chr01_contig_1198, whole genome shotgun sequence.